UUCCGGUUGAUCCCGCCGGACCUGACUGCUAUCGGAUUGAUACUAAGCCAUGCGAGUCUUUGUAGCAAUACAAGGCAGACGGCUCAGUAACGCGUAGUCAACCUACCCUAUGGACGGGAAUAACCUCGGGAAACUGAGUAUAAUGCCCGAUAGAACAUUAUGCCUGGAAUGGUUUAUGUUCCAAAUGAUUUAUCGCCAUAGGAUGGGACUGCGGCCUAUCAGUUUGUUGGUGAGGUAAUGGCCCACCAAGACUAUUACAGGUACGGGCUCUGAGAGGAGUGGCCCGGAGAUGGGUACUGAGACACGGACCCAGGCCCUACGGGGCGCAGCAGGCGAGAAAACUUUGCAAUGUGCGAAAGCACGACAAGGUUAAUCCGAGUGGUUUCUGCUAAAGGAACCUUUUGUUAGUCCUAGAAACACUAACGAAUAAGGGGUGGGCAAGUUCUGGUGUCAGCCGCCGCGGUAAAACCAGCACCUCAAGUGGUCAGGAUGAUUAUUGGGCCUAAAGCAUCCGUAGCCUGCUUUGUAAGUUUUCGGUUAAAUCUGUACGCUCAACGUACAGGCUGCCGGGAAUACUGCAUAGCUAGGGAGUGGGAGAGGUAGACGGUACUCGGGAGGAAGUGGUAAAAUGCUUUGAUCUUUCGAUGACCACCU
rnacentral:rRNA from 1 species